AAGAACUCUGUGUGUGUUGAAAACAACCUUAAUGUCUUUCCACAUUUCACACAGCUCAAAACUCCACAAUCUCACACACAGCUUCUGUGGCUGUGGACUAAAAGUGCUUUUCUCUCUCUUUGUCAGUGUCCAUCAGACACCAGAACGUAAACCUAAACCUGAUCCCAGCAGUGUGUCUAUGAAGAGUGAUAGGUCCAUGGGACUACCACUAAGAUUUGACUCCAGAAGGAUCCAUAAAACACAAGAAUACAAUCAACUGAAAACUAAACUCAAACGCAAACCUGAUCCCAGCAGUGUAUCAAUGAAGAGUGAUAGGUCCAUGGGACUACCACUAAGAUUUGACUCCAGAAGAGUGAAGCAGCAGAGUAUAAAUGUUCUCAGUGGUCAGUCUGUUCAUCAGCAGCAAACACAACUGGAC